GAUGAACGCUGGCGGCGUGCUUAACACAUGCAAGUCGAACGAAGCACUUUGAUCGAUUUCUUCGGAUUGAAAUUUUAGUGACUGAGUGGCGGACGGGUGAGUAACGCGUGGGUAACCUGCCUCACACAGGGGGAUAACAGUUGGAAACGGCUGCUAAUACCGCAUAAGCGCACAGUACCGCAUGGUACAGGGUGAAAAACUUCGGUGGUGUGAGAUGGACCCGCGUCUGAUUAGCUAGUUGGCAGGGUAACGGCCUACCAAGGCGACGAUCAGUAGCCGACCUGAGAGGGUGACCGGCCACAUUGGGACUGAGACACGGCCCAAACUCCUACGGGAGGCAGCAGUGGGGAAUAUUGCACAAUGGGGGAAACCCUGAUGCAGCGACGCUGCGUGAGCGAAGAAGUAUUUCGGUAUGUAAAGCUCUAUUAGCAGGGAAGAAGAAAUGACGGUACCUGACUAAGAAGCACCGGCUAAAUACGUGCCAGCAGCCGCCGUAA
rnacentral:rRNA from 1 species